CGCUUUAAGUUUUGAUUUAAAGUAAAACCUGCUCCAUGAAUAUUAAAUAGCCGCAGCCAAUCUGUGCUAAGGUAGCAUAAUAAUUAGCUUCAUAAUUAGAAGAUAGAAUGAAGGGUCAAACGAAAAACACCUGUCUCAACCCUACCACCCUUGAAACUUAUAUAUUAGUAAAAAAGCUAAUAGUAAAAAAAAGGACGACAAGACCCCGACAAACUAUCCUUUUAGUUGGGGCAACAAAAUAAAUACACUUUACUAAUUUCCACUACAAAACUUAAAUAUUCAAAUUCGACUAGUUACUGCGGGGAUAACAGCGCAAUCUUUUAAAAAGCCCACAUUAAAAAAAAAGAUUACGACCUCGAUGUUGAAUUAAUCUAUCCCCCCGGUGCAAAAGCUAUGAGUGUAGGGUCUGUUCGACCAAUAAAGAUU
rnacentral:rRNA from 1 species